GGAGGGUUCGCCUAGUCCGGCCUAUGGCGCACGAUUGGAAAUCGUGUAGGGGUAACCCCCCUCGAGGGUUCGAAUCCCUCACCCUCCG
rnacentral:tRNA from 1 species